rnacentral:misc_RNA from 1 species
AGUCGACGGUGGAUGAUGGGGUAUCAUCGGACGUUGAUGAUAAACGAUCAAAAAGUGAGCUGGCACAAUUGCAAGUAGAGCUCCAAAGGAUGAAUGUAGAAAAUCAAAGGUUGAGAGACAUGCUUAGUCAAGUGACCAACAAUUACAAUGCUUUACAGAUGCAUCUUGUAGCUUUGAUGCAGCAGCAGCAACAGCAACAGCAACAAAACCAUGGAACUGAAGCCAACCAAGAACAUGAGGUUGUUCAAGUAAAGCCUGAGGAAAAGAAGCACGAGGUGGUGCCAAGACAAUUUUUAGAUCUUGGCCCUUCAGCUGAGACCGAUGAAAUGUCUCAUUCAUCGUCUGAUGAGAGGACCCGUUCAGCCACACCUCUAGCCAAUAUGGAAACAGCAUCCGUGAAAAAUAGUGGGAACCAGGAGAAUUCUAGUUUCAGGGAUGGCAAAAGAAUUGGCAGAGAAGAAAGCCCUGAUUCUGGAUCACAAGGUUGGAAUCAUAGCAAGGUUCAAAAAUUGAAUUCCCCCCCUAUUAAGGGUAUUGAUCAAUCCACUGAGGCCACCAUGAGAAAAGCUCGUGUCUCAGUUCGAGCCCGAUCAGAAGCUCCCAUGAU